rnacentral:rRNA from 1 species
CUCGCGGGUAGCAACGCCCACCCGUGUUUAUCAUAUCUUGUUGCUUUGGCAGGUGGCGCCCGGCGACGGCCGGGACGUGCCUGCCAGGGGACCCCAACUCUGAAUUUUAGUGUCGUCUGAGUACUAUAUAAUAGUUAAAACUUUCAACAACGGAUCUCUUGGCUCUGGCAUCGAUGAAGAACGCAGCGAAAUGCGAUAAGUAAUGUGAAUUGCAGAAUUCAGUGAAUCAUCGAAUCUUUGAACGCACAUUGCGCCCCGUGGUAUUCCGCGGGGCAUGCCUGUUCGAGCGUCAUUUAACCCCAUCCAGCGUGCUGGGUCUUGGGCCUCGCCUCCGGGCGGGCCUUGAAAUCAGUGGCGGCGCCACCCGGCUCUCAGCGUAGUAUAACUCCUCGCUGCAGGGCAUCGGGCGGACGCUGGCCAGCAACCCCACAUCUUAUCC